rnacentral:lncRNA from 1 species
UCCCUCUGAACCUGCGAUGGACCCCAUGGUGGUUGUGAUCCCGGAGUGUGAAAUGUUCUUCUGAUUCCCCCUCAGUGUCCCGCUCCAGCCACUCCCCAGCAUGGAGCCUCCAGGCCAGACGUCCUCUUCUGCCCUGACCCCACCUCCUCCUUCCCUCGCCGGAGGAGGACACUGUGGCGGGAAGGGAGGCACACUUCCAGGCCGGCGUUCCUGGGUUCUCCACAUGGACUGUGAGUCUCCUGGAGGGAGACUGAAGUGGGGUUCCAGGAUGGGCCCUGGGUCUGUCCAUGUCAGCGCUCCACCCACUGGGGAGCCUGCUCCCGAGGGUGCUGUCUGGAAGGCGGGCAGGAGAGCCCUCCGCUCAGUCGGAGGAGAGGAUGCUGUGGGCACUAAGGGGGUCUCGCCUUCCACAGCACGCCCCUGUCUCGCAGGCUGAGGAGCCCGGCUGGGAGGACAGGUCCUCAGUGUCCUGAAUUUGGUGUCAGAACCGGCUGAAGUUCUCAGAGAGGACUCCAGAGGGUCCGGAGGUGAGCUGAGGACCUGAGAACCGCGCUGUGGGGAGGGGCCAGCUCGCCCCCCCCAAGCCUCUUGCAUCUCCAAAGUCCCCUUGACCACAGCAGGAGGGGCCGCGUGUGGGAACGUGUAGGAACGCGACCUGCGCGUGGGCGGGAGUUCCUCCUGUACUGAGGGGUCCCGCGGAGAAUGGGGUCGGCUUGGCCUCGGAAGGUGACGCCCUGUCCCCUCAGGAGGCCACGUCCCUCUCUGAGGUCAACCGAGAAGAGGAGCUGCCGCCGCCUUGCUUCUGACUCCGCUCUGGGAAGUGGCCUUUGGACGGGACGGCGCAUGGCAGUGGGGGUGAGGGAGAGACCCCCCCCGGUCACACCCUGUCUCAGCUUCCUAGGGAAAUUCAUCCUGGACAGCGCACAGGUGCUCUGGGUGGGGGAGCGCAUCGGCCGCAGCGUGAGCCUCAGCUCUGAGGUGUCGAUGUGUCCGCUUCACGGAGCCAGUGAGGGAGGCAGGGCCUCGGGCAGCAGUGGCCCGGCGUGGGGGGCAGAGAGUGUGGUCACCUGGCCAGGAUCCAGCUGGGCACUCAUGUCGGAGCAGUGGAACCACCGACUGCCCCGGUCAGCCCCCGGGCAGGGCUCCCUCCAGAACGGGGCGGGAAACUCAGGUAACAGUCUGUCUCGUUUGUUUUUGUGGAGAUGAAAGUUGCGUCCAGUGAAACGCACACGUCCUAAAUGUGCAUGUGGAUAGGUUUUGGCACAUGAGGCACCCGAUAUCCCAUGCCUC